AAGAUGAUUUAUUAUAUACUGAAGAAGAAAAAAAAAAAAUAAAAAGAAACCUCCUUCACAGGGAUCGAUACAAUAUAAAGAAAAUAAGGACGAAUAUACAAAAUCAACCUGACAAGGCGGCUCUAGAUGAAACACGUUCAAAGCACUUGCAAAUGUCACUGGACAGACGAAGAAGGAAAUUAAAGCAAGUCAUUUUUCCCCUGCAAAACACAAACUGAAAACCUGAUUUUAUUUCUUAAAAUCCACAGCCCUGCCUUUACCUGUAGAUACUUCAGAUAAAACACACGAUUUUAGUUGUGAUACAUUUUUUUAAAGGAGAGAUUCCCAGAACUUUUGUUUGACCACAUUUAUUUCAAAGUGGAUUUUAUUUUCACUUCCAACUUUAUGCAGGAGGCAAAGAAGCCAGAUGAGCUCAAAACAACAGGAGCUAAGCCAUCUCAUCCAGAGCAACCUUGUAUAUAUGGUUGUAAAAUUUAAACAACACACCACAAACAAAAAAACCCAAAACACAUAUAUGAGAAAAGAACAUCAGUAUGAAAUUCCUGAAGGGUUUCAAGGCUUGUUCCUACUCAACUGAAGUCAAUGUACUUUAUUUUAGAUGGAACAAGACCAAAUCCUUAUAUAACCAAAUACACAUUCCUCAAAAAGCAAAACCUUAAGAGUGUUGUAACCCAAACAUAGAAGUAAAAGACAAAUUUUAGCCACGUACCUUGCCUGGCACUAGCCGACAUCAUAUAUUUACCUGGGAUAUUUCAUUUACUCCUGACUUGGCCAAGAUUCCCACUGGUUACAGUGAAUAUUACUUAAAUAACGUAGCAAAAGGACAUCAUGCAUUAGUAAGCUAAAAUAUGAACCCGUGCUUACAGCAAUAGCUUUCCCUUCUAAUGCCCUAUAAUGAGCAUCUAGAAAAGGAAAAGACAAGAAGCUUUACAGAAAAAAAUCUGCACUUAGUUACACUGAUGACCAUCCUAAGCAACUCCACAGAAGUUUUCAGGGUUCCUUUUGAUGUACAUGAAGAAAGCAGGAAGUCAAAAAUAGACCAGUGUUAGGCAAGAUUAUAACACAUUUACUAUUAGUGCAGAAUGCAAAAUAACAGCUAAUGCUUAAUACAAAUGAAAUAUUAUCACUUUCAAACUCCUUGCAAAUACAUGGAUUCCACAUAGUUUACUUCCUCACCUUAAAACAAAUGCUUAAAUGUAGUACAAACUUCAUAUGUGUCUAAAUAUAUCAUCCCAAGUUACCAAAGGAACCAUUGGAGGGGAAAAAAAAUAAAAAAAUAAAAAAAGAAAUAGACAUUUAAGAGAGUUGCAAGGAAAUUCCCAGUUUCUUUGCUAUGAAAAGAAACAAAGAAGACCCACUGAUUGGAUUUGUGUUUUUUCUUCAUUUCUUUUAGGUUGGGUUUUGUUGGUUGUUUGUGGAGUUUUUUUGCAUCAAGGGAAAGAAAACAAUACAUAUAUGGGAGGGAAAACAUUUUCACAAAUAUAAUAAAUACCAGUUCUGAUCCAAAAGCAAAGUGCGAUAUUGAGUUUUCCAUUUAAACAAAAACAACCUACAGAAUAAUGUCUUAAAUAUUAACAAAUCUAUUAGUGGUCAGCACAGUAAAAUAAAUAUGAACACAAUGAUUUAUAUUUUGUUUCUAGCAGCAACGGUCAUUAACCUACUGGCCAUUGUGACAGCUUCACAGAAGUCCUGUUUCUUGGGUUUGGUACUUUGUUUAACAUGAAAAAAAGAUUCAUUGGGGAAAAUGGUACUACAGCUGUAUGGAAUUGUCCCCAGCCCAUCUAUGUCAAAUAGGGUUUGGCCAGGACAUGUUUUCAAUAUGUUUUGAACACUGACUUAGAGGGCAGCUUUGGGUUUCACAAAAAAAAAAAAACCCAAAAAAACCAUCAGGAUCCCCCCAGUUUCUUCAUCUGACUGUUCGGAUUGUCCUGAACCCUAAAGGUAUUAGUGAGGUGGGGUGUUUUCUCUUUGCACUCAACAAUUUUCUAUGCUAGAGGGAGAGUAGUAAGGUCACAAACUGUUAAGCAAUGCUGAGGAGGGAAAGGAAAGCUUUGGUCACUUGUAGUGAAAGGCUGCAACAGAGCUCUGGGGCAAAGCGAGUCUCAGCUGCUUCUCCCAGCAAGAAAUAUCUUUCCUCCCAUGUAGGAAACCUGUCCUACACUUGUCACUUGAGUCAUGCUAUCUGCUUUAUGCUUGUUAUAUAAGCCACCACUUUGAAAUUCUUGGGAUGAUGACAUUCAUUUGUUGCAUUCCCUUGAACUAAAGCAGAUACAGACCUCUGUUCAGGGUAGACUCAAGCCAUUCCUCAAAACCAGAUGUGGCUCCAUGCAGAGAGGAGGACGUCCUGCAGGACAUCGCACCUCAUCGCACACCAUCCCAAACGCACUAGCACUGCCAUGUUGUGGCAUGUUUGCACCAGUUGUUACUAGGAGGUUACAGCACAGGGAGCAAUCUAAGUUUUGACACCUCUGUCAGUCACUGGAAAUGCCAAAUGAGGAGCAGAUCACUGGGCUGGGAGCAGGGACAGGAACCAAAGCACAGUGGUGAACAGCUGAUUUUUGGGACACAUGAAAGCAAGCAAAAAUGCUUUCUUGGCCCUAGCAACAAGCUAGACAACAUUAGUACCUACAGCUCCUCCAGCUCGUAUUUCACAGUGGUGUUGUUCUGCUACUAAUUGCAGCCUGCGGGAAAUGCCACGCUUUAAUUUGCAGCAAGAGGGAUGUUUAACCAUAAUGCAGGGAUCACUCUGGUGAAGCACAGUGUGAUAUGGCUCAUGCAAUUCCCUCUGUCCCUGUACAGUG
ensembl:lncRNA